UGCGGGAGUGGCGAAAUUGGUAGACGCACCAGAUUUAGGUUCUGGCGCCGCAAGGUGUGCGAGUUCAAGUCUCGCCUCCCGCACCAU
rnacentral:tRNA from 37 species